AGCGAACGCUGGCGGCAGGCCUAACACAUGCAAGUCGAACGAACUCUUCGGAGUUAGUGGCGGACGGGUGAGUAACACGUGGGAACGUGCCUUUUGGUUCGGAAUAACUCAGGGAAACUUGUGCUAAUACCGAAUGUGCCCUUCGGGGGAAAGAUUUAUCGCCAUUAGAGCGGCCCGCGUCUGAUUAGCUAGUUGGUGAGGUAACGGCUCACCAAGGCGACGAUCAGUAGCUGGUCUGAGAGGAUGACCAGCCACACUGGGACUGAGACACGGCCCAGACUCCUACGGGAGGCAGCAGUGGGGAAUCUUGCGCAAUGGGCGAAAGCCUGACGCAGCCAUGCCGCGUGAAUGAUGAAGGUCUUAGGAUUGUAAAAUUCUUUCACCGGGGACCAUAAUGACGGUACCCGGAGAAGAAGCCCCGGCUAACUUCGUG
rnacentral:rRNA from 1 species